CCUAAUAAUACAUUAUUUUUCUUUAACGACUACGCUGUUUAAACUAUGAUUUUUAUACAUUUAUAAAACUAAAAAUGUUUAAAGUACAUAAUAUUUUAACAAUAUUUAAAAUAAAAUCAUUAGUCGUUACAAUUAUAGUACUUCAUGAUAACAAUUAACAGUUGAUAACUGCGAUGAUCGUACAAUAAGUAUGCUUAUAUUUGCGUUCGUCUUGAGACCCACCUAGCAGUGUUAUUUAGCUAUAUGUCUAAACGAACCGUUCAUUAGCGUGAGCUUUGGCAUAAGCACUUUAAGCGUCUAAGCAUGCUAUAUGAACGCACUCAUAGUAAAAUAGUAAAAC